rfam:Candidatus Aegiribacteria bacterium MLS_C scaffold_19, whole genome shotgun sequence.
GUAGAAGCUACUAAGGGCACACGGUGGAUGCCUUGGCACAGGCAGGCGAUGAAGGACGUAGUAAGUUGCGAUAAGCUCCGGUGAGGUACAAACAACCUUUGACCCGGAGAUCUCCGAAUGGGGCAACCCACUCAGGUUAAUCCCUGAGUAUCCCUUUACUGAACACAUAGGUUUAGGGAAGCGAACCCGGGGAACUGAAACAUCUAAGUACCCGGAGGAAAAGAAAGAGAAAUCGAUUCCCCCAGUAGUGGCGAGCGAAAAGGGAACAGUCCAAACCGAGCGGCGUGUAAGCAGCGCGUGCGUUGCGUCGUCGGUGUUGCGGGAAGUAAUCGGAGGAGCGCGUAUCUCCUCGGAUCGAAAGGCCAGUUAGCAGAAGGUUCUGGAAAGUUCUCCCAGAGAGGGUGAAAGGCCCGUACGCAAAAACUGACUCUGGAUCUGGAAUACUCUCCCAAGUAGUGCCGGACACGUGGAAUCUGGUAUGAAUCCGGGCGGACCACCGCCUAAGACUAAAGACUCGCCUGUGACCGAUAGUGAACUAGUACCGUGAGGGAAAGGUGAAAAGUACCGCUGGCGCGGAGUGAAAUAGUACCUGAAACCGUGUGCUUACAAGCAGUCGGAGCCCCCUUGAGGGGUGACGGCGUGCCUUUCGCAUAAUGAGCCGGGGAGUUACUCGUAUGUAGCAAGGUUAAGGUCUGAAGGACCGGAGCCGAAGGGAAACCAAGUCUGAAUAGGGCGUAUAGUUGCAUGCGGUAGACCCGAAGCCAGGUGAUCUACCCAUGGCCAGGUUGAAGCUUGGGUAAAACCAAGUGGAGGACCGAACGCACUAAUGAUGAAAAAUUAGGCGAUGAGCUGUGGGUAGGGGUGAAAGGCCAAACAAACCUGGAAAUAGCUGGUUCUCUUCGAAAUAGCUUUAGGGCUAGCGUUGCGCCAAAGUGUGACGGAGGUAGAGCACUGGAUGGGUGAGGGGGUCAACAAGCCUACCGACCCCAACCAAACUCCGAAUGCCGUACACAUGUUCCGCAGCAGUCAGGCCGCGAGGGAUAAGCUCCGUGGCCGAAAGGGAAACAACCCAGACCACCAGCUAAGGCCCCUAAGAGUACGCUGAGUGCAUUAAAGGAAGUGAGAGCGCUCAGACAACUGGGAUGUUGGCUUAGAAGCAGCCAUUCAUUUAAAGAGUGCGUAAUAGCUCACCAGUCAAGCUUUCAUGCGCCGAUAAUAAUCGGGGCUAAGCGUACCGCCGAAGCUGUGGAUCGCAGUUUCUGACUGCGAUGGUAGAAGAGCGUUCCAUUCGCGCUGAAGGUGUUCCGUGAGGAAUGCUGGAGCGUAUGGAAGUGAUCAUCCCGGCAUCAGUAGCGACAAUGAGGGUGAGAAACCUUCACACCGAUAGCCUAAGGUUUCCUGGGCAAGGCUGAUCCGCCCAGGGUUAGUCGGAUCCUAAGCCGAGGCCGAAAGGCGUAGGCGAUGGCAAGCAGGUUAACAUUCCUGCACCGCCGGACAGGUGUCUGAGCGAUGGAGUGACGCAGAAGGUAGGGUCAUCCGGGUGAUGGAAAUCCCGGUUCAAGCUCGUAGGGAGGGAAGACAGGCAAAUCCGUCUUCCCGCUAAUCCUGAGGAGUGAUGACGAGAGUCCUAGACUCAUAAAGUGACCGGUUCCAUGCUGCCGAGAAAAACUUCUAAGCGAAUCUGUCAGGCGUCCGUACCCCAAACCGACACAGGUAGGCAAGGAGAGAAUCCUGAGGUGUUCGAGAUAACCAUGGUUAAGGAACUAGGCAAAAUUAUCCCGUAACUUCGGAAUAAGGGAUGCCGGAUCUGGUGAAGGACCUCGCGUCCGGAGCUGGAUCAGGCCGCAGUGAAAUGGCCUGGGCGACUGUUUACUAAAAACACAGGUCUCUGCUAAGUCGCAAGACGACGUAUAGGGACUGACACCUGCCCGGUGCUGGAGCGUUAAGGGGAAGAGUUAGCCUUCAAUAGUUGGCGAAGCUUAGAACUGAAGCCCCAGUAAACGGCGGCCGUAACUAUAACGGUCCUAAGGUAGCGAAAUUCCUCGUCGGGUAAGUUCCGACCCGCACGAAUGGUGUAACGACUUGGGCACUGUCUCAACCAUGGACUCGGCGAAGUUGCAGUAGCGGUGAAGAUACCGUUUACCCGUGGAAGGACAGAAAGACCCCGUGCACCUUUACUGCAGCUUGACAUUGGCUUUCGGCAUGCGAUGUGUAGGAUAGGCGGGAGACAUUGAAACCAUGGCGCCAGUUGUGGUGGAGUCAACCUUGAAAUACCGCCCUUUGUAUGGUGGAAUUCUAACGGAGGACCGUUAUCCGGUUCCCGGACAGUGUCAGGUGGGUAGUUUGACUGGGGUGGUCGCCUCCUAAAGCGUAACGGAGGCGCACAAAGGUUCCCUCAGUGCGGUCGGCAAUCGCACGUUGAGUGUAAAGGCAUAAGGGAGCUUGACUGCGAGACAGACAAGUCGAGCAGGUACGAAAGUAGGUCUUAGUGAUCCUGCGGUCCCGAGUGGAAGGGCCGUGGCUCACCGGAUAAAAGGUACGCCGGGGAUAACAGGCUUAUCGCCACCGAGAGUUCAUAUCGACGUGGCGGAUUGGCACCUCGAUGUCGGCUCAGCGCAUCCUGGGGCUGGAUAAGGUCCCAAGGGUUGGGCUGUUCGCCCAUUAAAGCGCUACGCGAGCUGGGUUUAGAACGUCGCGAGACAGUUCGGUCCCUAUCCUCCACGGGCGUAGGAAGUUUGAGGGGUUCUGCUCUUAGUACGAGAGGACCGGAGUGGACGCACCUCUAGUGUACCGGUUGUCCCGCCAGGGGCAUAGCCGGGUAGCUAUGUGCGGACUAGGAUAAACGCUGAAAGCAUCUAAGUGUGAAACCGGCCCCGAGAUUAGACUUCCCUGAUCAUAAGAUCCCAUAAGGCCACUCAGAGACUAUGAGUUUGAUAGGCUGCAGGUGUAAGCAUGGUAACAUGUUCAGCCGAGCAGUACUAAUCGGCCGGGAGGCUUCUACAC